rnacentral:rRNA from 1 species
GACGAACGCUGGCGGCGUGCCUAAUACAUGCAAGUCGAGCGGAUUUUCGGAAGCUUGCUUCCGAAAAUUAGCGGCGGACGGGUGAGUAACACGUGGGCAACCUGCCUGUAAGACUGGGAUAACUUCGGGAAACCGGAGCUAAUACCGGAUACAUUCUUCCCUCGCAUGAGGGAAGAUGGAAAGACGGUUUUGCUGUCACUUACAGAUGGGCCCGCGGCGCAUUAGCUAGUUGGUGAGGUAAUGGCCCACCAAGGCGACGAUGCGUAGCCGACCUGAGAGGGUGAUCGGCCACACUGGGACUGAGACACGGCCCAGACGCCUACGGGAGGCAGCAGUAGGGAAUCUUCCGCAAUGGACGAAAGUCUGACGGAGCAACGCCGCGUGAGCGAAGAAGGCCUUCGGGUCGUAAAACUCUGUUGUCAGGGAAGAACAAGUACCAUAGUAACUGAUGGUACCUUGACGGUACCUGACCAGAAAGCCACGGCUAACUACGUGCCAGCAGCCGCCGUAA